CUACGGGGCGCACCAGUGAGGAAUAUUGCACAAUGGGGGGAACCCUGAUGCAGCAACGCCGCGUGGAGGAUGACGCAUUUCGGUGUGUAAACUCCUUUUAUAUGUCAAGAAAAUGACGGUAGCAUAUGAAUAAGCACCGGCUAACUCCGUGCCAGCAGCCGCGGUAAUACGGAGGGUGCAAGCGUUACUCGGAAUCACUGGGCGUAAAGGACGCGUAGGCGGGUUGGAAAGUCAGGUGUGAAAUCCUACAGCUUAACUGUAGAACUGCACUUGAAACUUCUAAUCUAGAGUAUGGGAGGGGGAGAUGGAAUUAGUGGUGUAGGGGUAAAAUCCGCAGAUAUCACUAGGAAUACCUAAAGCGAAGGCGAUCUCCUGGAACAUUACUGACGCUAAGGCGUGAAAGCGUGGGGAGCAAACAGGAUUAGAUACCCGCGUAGUC
rnacentral:rRNA from 1 species